rnacentral:rRNA from 1 species
UACGUAGGGUGCGAGCGUUAAUCGGAAUUACUGGGCGUAAAGCGUGCGCAGGCGGUUUUGUAAGACCAAUGUGAAAUCCCCGGGCUUAACCUGGGAACUGCAUAGGUGACUGCAAGGCUAGAGUACGGCAGAGGGGGGUAGAAUUCCACGUGUAGCAGUGAAAUGCGUAGAUAUGUGGAGGAAUACCGAUGGCGAAGGCAGCCCCCUGGGUCGAUACUGACGCUCAUGCACGAAAGCGUGGGGAGCAAACAGG